AUAGGUUUAAUGCAUAAGGAAGAGAUCCGAAGCUCGCCGGAAAAUAGAGUUCCCGACGAGCGUACCGGCGAUAUAAUCCAACCUCGAGGUAUUUCGAUUCCUUCUCCUUUUCUUCCUUCUGAGCUUUGAUCCUCCUUUUUCUACGCUUCCUCUUCUCCUUCGUCUUUCUUUACGAUUUGGGUUUGCUUUGGUUUUGACAGGGGUUUAGCUCGAGCUUGUUGAGCUUCAGUGUGAAAAUCUCAACAAGUUCAAAACUGAGCUUUUUUAACUAGGGUUUUGGGGUGAUUUUUUUCAGAGUAACGGCGCAGAAAUUCGGAUCCCUACUUCAUCACUGGAGGUCCUUAUUUAUAGCGGUUUGGAUGUACGAGGUUUAGAAUUCCUCUCUCAUGAGCUUGGCAAAUUAGUGGGAGAAUCAUUCCGUUAGGUAGCAGAAUUUUUCAGAGUUAGUGGUGCUUCAAAUCGGUGUGGUCCUUCAAAUGGCAGGAUGAGGUUUUGUCUGUAGUGAAUCCAUGGUAACCACCUAUUUUUUACUUUUCACUGCAGUAAAUGUCUAUUUUAACCACGUUUUGAUUUUUGUAACAGGAUAUGAAUUUUGCAGUUUUGAUUCUUUACAGGUCAUGUACCAGUCAAUUUCAUGAAGUGGCUUGUGCAUAAUUAACAAGUU
rnacentral:lncRNA from 1 species